GAAAAAAAAAUCAUUGUAUUUUGUCUUGCAGUGCUGCAUGAUUGAAUCUUUACAAAAACAAUUAAUUUAUGGUGUCUUACGGUAACGGAUUAGUAUGAAGUUGGCAUCCAUUGAGAUUUGUGCACUCAUCGCAUGGCCUUCGUUUAAGUCCUCCACUGACUAAAAUGAUUUCCAUUGACUAACGAGACUCGAUAAUUGUACGAAGGUGGAUUUGUGCACUCAUCGCAUGGCCUUUGUUUAAGUCUUCCAUUGACUAAAAAGAUUUCCGUUCUACCGGACUCAAUUGUCAAGUCGUCCAUUGGUAAACAACUGAACAUCUGUUGAAGAAGUGAUGAUGAGGCUCUGAAGAAGAUGUCUCCAAGAUUUCUACUGGAAGGAAAAGAUAUGAAGGAAAAUAGUAAUAGAAAAGCUAAAAAUAAUGGAAUUUUCGUGUAGUUUGGUGAUCAAAGCAUGGAGGGCAAAGGAAUAGUUAUCAGACGAAGCAACAUAUGAUUUAGUGAAGAGAUCAUAGGAAAAGCAGCUGCGUACAUAAUUGAAGCACCCUCGUUAUAUAGUUGGCUGAUAAAAGAAUAAAUGCUACCUCAUAUGCCCUUGCUUGCAGCCAGUCGCCAAUAUCUUGUUUCUCCUAUGAUGCUUUUGAAGGGAGAAGAGAAAGAGUGAUGAAAUCUUCAGUAAAUAGAGUGUCUUUGAAAUCAAGGAUGCAUAGAAGAGAUAAGGGAAGAAUAUGUGUAGAAAUUUUCAAGGUCAGCAAGCUAGGGAAGGGUGAUCCAACUGAAUUCACUAGCUAAUUAGAGGUCAAAUUUUAGAUGGCAUAAUGCAGACCAAAAAAAUUAGCUAGGCUG